GAAGUUUGAGGUUCCUUAUUUUGUUUCAGCACAGAAUAUAUUGACAUAAUGGUAUUGUGAAGUUGAGAAAAGUCAAACACACUAUGAUUACAUGGAAAGAAAUGGAUGCCUGCAUGAGGUAAUUGGACUAAAUCCAACAUGCAGAAAUUCUUUGAAAGGCUUAGGCUUUGGCAGAAUGCUAAUUAAAAUGCUUGAAAUUUUCCAUAUGAAUUGUAUCUACACCCAAGACAAUGAGGAAAUAAUUAUCACAGAGGUAGAAUCACAAUGGCCAUUUUAAUCAACCUCUGUGCUAGCAUUUCACCCUAUUUAUACCGCUUUGAUUUCAUGACCCACUGCGAAGUAAUCACUUGAAAAUUAGCCUUCUGUUCUAAUGGGCCCUUGCGUUGGAGACAUGUGAUCAGACAAAAUUAGCAUUCUGUGUAACGUGAAUGAUAUGAAGCCAUUCUUUAAAACUAAAGUGAUUAGGAUACGCAGGUGCGAGGAAAACAUAUGCCGCUAUAUUCUUUCACUUUUUAACCAAUUUCUUCACAAUGACAUUGCUCAGUCUGAGGGAAAGAAAAAAUACCCACAAAGAUCCUAAAAGAUUAGUGCCUGCCAUUUAUGUGACUAAUAUGGGUCGACAAUUUAAAUACAUUUUGUACACAAUCCGGUCUGUUAUUAAAUAGUUCUGUACAACAUACUGAGACUGCCGUGCCUCUUUCUACACAUGUACUAAAUUCAUGUUCUCAGGAUGAAAUAUUAGCCCCCACCAAGCUUCUCUAACCACAGACAUCAUAAACACCAUCCAAUGUGAAGUAAAUUUGAUUCAAUCUCUGAACUAUUUUUAUUGAGUGGUAUUCAUGAUAAUGAAGCGGCCAUGAAAAACACAGAUAAUAUACAUAAACAGAGCCACUGCACAAUGACAUGGAACAAUGUAACCUUGUGAGAGUAAGCACUGAAGCAUGGCUAUUUCGGGCUAGUAUUCAGGAGACCACAUUUUCAUUUGAACACACUGUCAUACGGUGUUCCUUUUCAAACUUGCAACAAUCGCAUUAUAAAACGAUGACAUCAUUUUAUAAUGACAUGACCGAUUAACAACACCGAGAAAUACCUAUAGAGGUAUUAGAAAAUAGCUCUCUCUCUCAUGUCUUACAUUUUUUUUGUUGUAAUUCUAUCCACUCCACUCAAAACACAACUAACUUCCCUAAAGUGACUGAAACACAGUAACAAACAUAUCAAAACUAAGAAACAUCUCUGACUGUUUAAGCUGUCUUCUAAAACAUACCAAUUUAGCAGUGUCUAAAGUUAUAGUUGUAUAUUUGUGUAUUAGAGCAGCUUCAGAGUUUUUCAUAGACGAUGGACAGACGCACACAUAAGAUAGUAAGAGAAAGUUUUUAUUCCAUUAUUGCAUUAAGGCUGGUGUUUCUAAUCUAUCGGCUUUUGUUCAUGGUUUUAUCCUGACAUUUAUAGAGUCUGAGCUGAGUCACGAAACAGUCAAGAGCAAGUUGAGUCAUGAGUCAGUCAGCGCGCAACUUAAGUGUGAUUCAAGACACUCGAGAAACUCUGCUACACACUUAAAUACAAUCCUUACGAAGGACUUCAGGAAAACCCCAACUUUAUCAUCAGAGACAUGGUCUCCUGACAUACCACGAGCAAUACGUUUCAGAACAGACCAGCAAAAACACACUGAAAUUAGGCGAGCAAAGCAGUUACUGAAGAUGGACGGCUGGACAGAUGAUUGGUGCAGCCCAGAGGAACGUAGGAGCAUCCGAAGGCAUUUAUUUUGAACAUCACUAUAUGCAUUUUAAAUAUUUAAAAAAAAUAUUUUAAAUAAUCCCCCUUAUAAUCUAUAUUCAUACAUUUAUACACUUAACAAAAAUACAAUGCAAUUUUAUAUAAACAAUUUUAUAUUUGACUCAAAUUUUUGUCAGCCAAAUUAUACUCUGCCUUGUCUGUCUCUGUGUCUCCCCCGUACCUCCUGAACUGCAUUUCUGCAACCAGCUAUUUGAGGGCUGUAUAGAAGAAAAGCUAUGUAUGCUAUUGAUCGCAAAACUCAGCAAUGACAUGGGGAUACAAAAAAUAUGCAUUUGCUUCUCUAGAAUGAAUCUUUUUUUUUGUUUGUUUCAAACCCAAACUGUGAUAUGUUAAUACACCCAGACAACAGGUGACCAAAAUCCUUAAAACAUGUCAUCGAUCAUUUCAAAGUAACUAAUAAAA